rnacentral:misc_RNA from 1 species
GAAAUGCGAUAAGUAAUGUGAAUUGCAGAAUUCAGUGAAUCAUCGAAUCUUUGAACGCACAUUGCGCCCGCCAGUAUUCUGGCGGGCAUGCCUGUUCGAGCGUCAUUUCAACCAUCAAGCCCCGGGCUGGUGUUGGGGACCUGCGGCUGCCGCAGGCCCUGAAAACCAGUGGCGGGCUCGCUGUCACACCGAGCGUAGUAGAUUCUCAUCUCGCUCAGGGCGUGCUGCGGGUUCCGGCCGUAAAACAGCCUUAUUUUACCCAAGGUUGACCUCGAAUCAGGUAGGAAGACCCGCUGAACUUAAGC